AUUGAACGCUGGCGGCAUGCCUUACACAUGCAAGUCGAACGGUAACGCGGGGCAACCUGGCGACGAGUGGCGAACGGGUGAGUAAUGUAUCGGAACGUGCCCAGUUGUGGGGGAUAACUGCUCGAAAGAGCAGCUAAUACCGCAUACGACCUGAGGGUGAAAGCGGGGGAUCGCAAGACCUCGCGCAAUUGGAGCGGCCGAUAUCAGAUUAGGCAGUUGGUGGGGUAAAGGCUCACCAAGCCGACGAUCUGUAGCUGGUCUGAGAGGACGACCAGCCACACUGGGACUGAGACACGGCCCAGACUCCUACGGGAGGCAGCAGUGGGGAAUUUUGGACAAUGGGCGCAAGCCUGAUCCAGCCAUGCCGCGUGCGGGAAGAAGGCCUUCGGGUUGUAAACCGCUUUUGUCAGGGAAGAAAAGGCUCCUGUUAAUACCGGGGGCUCAUGACGGUACCUGAAGAAUAAGCACCGGCUAACUGCGUGCCAGCCGCCGCCGUAAUAC
rnacentral:rRNA from 1 species